rnacentral:rRNA from 1 species
GACGAACGCUGGCGGCGUGCUUAACACAUGCAAGUCGAACGGAAAGGCCCUGCUUUUGUGGGGUGCUCGAGUGGCGAACGGGUGAGUAACACGUGAGUAACCUGCCCUUGACUUUGGGAUAACUUCAGGAAACUGGGGCUAAUACCGGAUAGGAGCUCCUGCUGCAUGGUGGGGGUUGGAAAGUUUCGGCGGUUGGGGAUGGACUCGCGGCUUAUCAGCUUGUUGGUGGGGUAGUGGCUUACCAAGGCUUUGACGGGUAGCCGGCCUGAGAGGGUGACCGGCAACAUGGGGACUGAGAUACGGCGCAGACUCGUACGGGAGGCAGCAGUGGGGAAUAUUGCACAAUGGGCGGAAGCCUGAUGCAGGAACGCCGCGUGGGGGAUGACGGCCUUCGGGUUGUAAACCGCUUUCGCCUGUGACGAAGCGUGAGUGACGGUAAUGGGUAAAGAAGAACCGGCUAACUACGUG